CGGGGUGUAGCGCAGCUUGGCAGCGCGCCUGCUUUGGGAGCAGGAUGUCGCAGGUACCCUUCGGGAAGCCGCUAACGCGUCUACAAAUCCUGCCACCCCGA
rnacentral:tRNA from 1 species